UACGAAGGGUGCAAGCGUUAUUCGGAUUUAUUGGGUGUAAAGGGUGCGUAGCCGGCAUAUUAAGUCCGCUGUUAAAUUUCCCAGCUUAACUGGGAGCCAGCGGUGGAUACUGAUGUGCUAGAGGAUGGAAGAGAGAAGUGGAAUUCCCGGAGUAGCGGUAAAAUGCGUAGAUCUCGGGAGGAACACCAAUGGCGAAGGCAGCUUCUUGGUCCAUAUCUGACGUUGAGGCACGAAAGCGUGGGGAGCAAACAGG
rnacentral:rRNA from 1 species